AUGUUUGGCAACGUUUUUUGCGUUAUCGUAUUGUUCGAGUCGACGUAGAGCAACUGGAUCGGCGACAACUGCGUCGGUGAACAGCACGGCACUAUCUCGUUCUUCUGCUGAUGUACGCUGCCCUUUUUCGUCAACAACCUCUGAAAAAUGAAUCGAACAACUCUCUCAAUCAAAACUCAACGGACUUUCAAAACUCAACGUUUUUUUCUUCGAAGUACGCUCAAGUGAAAAGCGUCGGUAACUCUGGAAGCGAGAUUGAGUGAAAAUGAUUUUUUCACGUACCCUGAUUACGUUGUUGUACGGCGAGGCACUCAUCGUCAAAGAAGCAGCCGAAGAGCACGAGCCCCGACAGAAGUGAGCGUGAUAACCGCUCGGAUGAAGUAUCCAAUCGCUCCAGCCGAUGUCCUCGAAGCUUAUGUACAAAUCGUCGCGACAACAUUCCUUCAUUUCCGAAGCCCUUUGGAGUUUUACCGAGAGGAAACAACAAAUGGAACGCAGAACUCGGGCUCGGAUGGAAAAAAACACGCGAAAUAUCAGCUCACAUGGCCAACGGAGUGACUUUUUCCCGAUGCCAAAUACGAAAUAUCCGAGGAAUGACGAAUUCGUUGAAAUCAUCGUUAUUUCGUUUCAUUUUUCUUCAAUUUUUAUCCUCGAUCAUUGAGUUUCUAUCAUUCGCUCUCCUCUCAGGUCAAUCCACAAUCGAUACGAAAAACUCAAGUCUUUUAUCUCGUACCCAAAUUUUUAUGUGCACGAGAAUACAAAGGUGGAGUGAAAUGAGAGAUGCUGGCAAUUAAGGGCGCCAUUAUUCGUUGAAGCAUAAGUAUAUCAGUGUUAGCAUUGUUUCGUACGUAUCCGCAUGACUUAAAAGUAUUACUGUAGUUCUCGGACGAGGCCAAUUAACGAGCUCCGCUAGAACUUGCCUACAUUGUCCACACUUCUCUUCUACUCCUCUUCCUGCGAGGCUCUUAUCCUCUUUCCAACAUUCUCGCUUUUCUACUCGUUCGAUCGUUUAGUUCUUCAACCUGUUAGAUUUACCUGUUGGAUCCUAUACAUGCUUUUAUCGCUGUACGUCGCUUCGUACGAAGUAAAACAAAUUCACACGUUUGUCGAUUCGUUGCAUAUUCAUGCGACAAAAAUCCAAUUCGUGUUCGGCUCGUAGCUUUUUUUUUAUUCUUUUUUUCGAUUUCUACAUUUAUCUUGCACCGGGAACCAUGUCGCCGGUGAUAUUUUUAUAUGGAUAUUGUUCACGAACGCUUUCUCAGGGAUCCGUUUCGUUUUCAACGUUUUAACUCGUCCAUUUUCGCAUCGAUCUUCGCAUGACUAAUGAAAUCUUCAUGUUUUAUCGUUAAUUUGCUAAGAUAAAUAAAUAGUUUUGGAGUUAUUGAACUUUUGAGAAGGCAGCUUCGUCGGAAUAUAUUCGCGCAUAUUUGACAAGUUCCUUCACGAAUUUCGAUCAUACUCGAAUACUCGGAGAGAGAAUUAAUGACGCGAUCGAAGCUGACUAUUAAAAACUAAUAUUUUCUUGGAUUAUUAAGUUUAUUUAUAUUUUUUAUUGCCUUUCAGCCUCAAUUGGCCUGUUACUCCGACGUACCUUGGGACGGAAUAUUCUUUCGGGGAUUUUCAAGGAGUCUGAUUAAUGCGAGAAGCUCAAUUACGGUGUAACCGAGACUCACCUUCGUUAGGGAA
rnacentral:lncRNA from 1 species